AUGACGGCCUUCGGGUUGUAAACCUCUUUCAGUAGGGAAGAAGCGAAAGUGACGGUACCUGCAGAAGAAGCGCCGGCUAACUACGUGCCAGCAGCCGCGGUAAUACGUAGGGCGCAAGCGUUAUCCGGAAUUAUUGGGCGUAAAGAGCUCGUAGGCGGUUUGUCGCGUCUGCUGUGAAAGACCGGGGCUCAACUCCGGUUCUGCAGUGGGUACGGGCAGACUAGAGUGCAGUAGGGGAGACUGGAAUUCCUGGUGUAGCGGUGAAAUGCGCAGAUAUCAGGAGGAACACCGAUGGCGAAGGCAGGUCUCUGGGCUGUAACUGACGCUGAGGAGCGAAAGCAUGGGGAGCGAACAGGAUUAGAUACCCUGGUAGUCCAUGCCGUAAACGUUGGGCACUAGGUGUGGGGGACAUUCCACGUUUUCCGCGCCGUAGCUAACGCAUUAAGUGCCCCGCCUGGGGAGUACGGCCGCAAGGCUAAAACUC
rnacentral:rRNA from 1 species